AAUCAACGCUGGCGGCGUGCCUCAGACAUGCAAGUCGAACGCGAAAGGCCCCUUCGGGGGCCCGGUAGAGUGGCGCACGGGUGAGUAACACGUAGGUAAUUUGCCUUCGGGUGGGGAAGUAACAGCCGGAAACGGCUGCUAAUACCGCAUAAUGCAGCGGCUCGACAUCGAGACAGUUGUUAAAGCGGGGGAUCGCAAGGCCUCGCGCCUGAAGAGAAGCCUGCGGCAGAUAGCUUGUUGGUGAGGUAAUGGCUCACCAAGGCGACGAUCUGUAACCGGCCUGAGAGGGCGGUCGGUCACACUGACACUGACAUACGGGUCAGACUCCUACGGGAGGCAGCAGUCGGGAAUUUUGGGCAAUGGGCGAAAGCCUGACCCAGCAACGCCGCGUGAAGGAUGAAAUCUCUCGGGAUGUAAACUUCGCAAGAACGGGAAGAAUAAGUUGGGAUAAUACCCCGAAUGAUGACGGUACCGUUUGUAAGCUCCGGCUAACU
rnacentral:rRNA from 1 species